rnacentral:rRNA from 1 species
UGGUGGAGUGAUUUGUCUGGUUAAUUCCGAUAACGAACGAGACCUCAACUUAUUAACUAGUGGUGACAAUCUUCUGCUUGGUGAAGCUGGGCUUAGGUCCCGGUACGCUCGCAAGGGUGGCACUGGUCCGGCACAGUGGAUCUUUGAUGUUUGUCGCUUUUCCUUAACUUCUUAAAGGGACUAUCCAUGUUUAAUGGGUGGAAGUGAGGCAAUAACA